GAUGAACGCUGGCGGCGUGCCUAAUACAUGCAAGUCGAGCGAAGCGGGGACGGGUGAGUAACACGUGGAUAACCUCCUAUAAGACUGGGAUAACUUCGGGAAACCGGAGCUAAACCGGAUACUUAUAGAUCGAUCCGCGCUGCAUUAGCUAUUCGGUGGGGUAAUGGCUCACUUAGGCGACGAUCCCUAGCUGGUCUGUGAGGAUGACCAGCCACACUGGAACUGGGACACGGUCCAGACUCCUACGGGAGGCAGCAGUGGGGAAUAUUGCACAAUGGGCGCAAGCCUGAUGCAGCCAUGCCGCGUGAGUGAUGACGGCCUUCGGGUUGGAAAGCUCUGUUAAUCGGGACGCGGUACCGGAAUAGAAAGCCACGGCUAACUACGUGCCAGCAGCCGCGGUAAUAC
rnacentral:rRNA from 1 species